UACGUAGGGACCGAGCGUUGUCCGGAAUCAUUGGGCGUAAAGAGCGUGUAGGCGGCUUGUUAAGUCUUGCGUGAAAUCUCGGGGCUCAACCCCGAGCGGUCGUGAGAAACUGGCAGGCUAGAGUGCGGGAGAGGAGAGUGGAAUUCCUGGUGUAGCGGUGAAAUGCGCAGACAUCAGGAGGAACACCGGUGGCGAAGGCGGGUCUCUGGGCCGUAACUGACGCUGAGGAGCGAAAGCGUGGGGAGCAAACAGG
rnacentral:rRNA from 1 species